GAUGAACGCUGGCGGCGUGCCUAAUACAUGCAAGUAGAACGCUGAAGGAAGGAGCUUGCUCUUUCCGGAUGAGUUGCGCACGGGUGAGUAACGCGUAGGUAACCUGCCUGGUAGCGGGGGAUAACUAUUGGAAACGAUAGCUAAUACCGCAUAACAGUAGAUGUUGCAUGAUAUCUACUUAAAAGGUGCAAUUGCACCACUACCAGAUGGACUUGCGUUGUAUUAGCUAGUUGGUGAGGUAACGGCUCACCAAGGCGACGGUACAUAGCCGACCUGAGAGGGUGAUCGGCCACACUGGGACUGGGAAACGGCCCAGACGCCUACGGGAGGCAGCAGUAGCGAAUCUUCGGCGAUGGACGGAAGACUGACCGAGCAACGCCGCGUGAGUGAAGAAGGAUCUCGGAUCGUAAAGUUCUGUUGUAAGGGAAGAACGAGGGUGAGAGUGGAAAGUUCACACUGUGACGGUAUCUGACCAGAGAGGGACGGCUAACUACGUG
rnacentral:rRNA from 1 species